GGAUGGACUCGCGGCCUAUCAGCUAGUUGGUGAGGUAACGGCUCACCAAGGCGUCGACGGGUAGCUGGCCUGAGAGGGUGACCGGCCACACUGGGACUGAGACACGGCCCAGACUCCUACGGGAGGCAGCAGUGGGGAAUAUUGCACAAUGGGCGCAAGCCUGAUGCAGCAACGCCGCGUGGGGGACGAAGGCCUUCGGGUUGUAAACCUCUUUUAGUAGGGAAGAAGCGAAAGUGACGGUACCUGCAGAAAAAGCACCGGCUAACUACGUGCCAGCAGCCGCGGUAAUACGUAGGGUGCGAGCGUUGUCCGGAAUUAUUGGGCGUAAAGAGCUCGUAGGCGGUUUGUCACGUCUGCUGUGAAAACCCGAGGCUCAACCUCGGGCCUGCAGUGGGUACGGGCAGACUAGAGUGCGGUAGGGGAGAACGGAAUUCCUGGUGUAGCGGUGGAAUGCGCAGAUAUCAGGAGGAACACCGAUGGCGAAGGCAGUUCUCUGGGCCGUAACUGACGCUGAGGAGCGAAAGCGUGGGGAGCGAACAGGAUUAGAUACCCUGGUAGUCCACGCCGUAAACGUUGGGCGCUAGAUGUGGGGACCAUUCCACGGUUUCCGCGUCGUAGCUAACGCAUUAAGCGCCCCGCCUGGGGAGUACGGCCGCAAGGCUAAAACUCAAAGGAAUUGACGGGGGCCCGCACAAGCGGCGGAGCAUGCGGAUUAAUUCGAUGCAACGCGAAGAACCUUACCAAGGCUUGACAUAUGCGAGAACGCUCUAGAAAUAGAGAACUCUUUGGACACUCGUAUACAGGUGGUGCAUGGUUGUCGUCAGCUCGUGUCGUGAGAUGUUGGGUUAAGUCCCGCAACGAGCGCAACCCUCGUCGCAUGUUGCCAGCACGUAAUGGUGGGAACUCAUGUGAGACUGCCGGGGUCAACUCGGAGGAAGGUGGGGAUGACGUCAAAUCGUCAUGCCCCUUAUGUCUUGGGCUUCACGCAUGCUACAAUGGCCGGUACAAAGGGCUGCGAAACCGCAAGGUGGAGCGAAUCCCAAAAAGCCGGUCUCAGUUCGGAUUGAGGUCUGCAACUCGACCUCAUGAAGUCGGAGUCGCUAGUAAUCGCAGAUCAGCAACGCUGCGGUGAAUA
rnacentral:rRNA from 1 species